AUUUUGGACAAUGGGGUGAACCCUGAUCCAGCCAUCCCGCGUGUCCGAUGAAGGCCUUCGGGUUGUAAAGCACUUUUGGCAGUGAAGAAAAGGCACGGGCUAAUAUCCUGUGUCCCUGACGGUACCUGCAGACUAAGCACCGGCUAACUACGCGGCCGCAGCCGCGGUAAUACGUAGGGUGCAAGCGUUAAUCGGAAUUACUGGCCGUCAAGCGUGCGUCGGCGGUUUGGCAAGAAAGGUGUGAAAUCCCAGAGCUUAACUUUGGAGAUGCACUUUUAACUGCCAGGCUAGAGUAUGUCAGAGGGGGGUAGAAUUCCGAGUGUAGCAGUGAAAUGCGUAGAGAUGCGGAGGAAUACCGAUGGCGAAGGCAGCCCCCUGGGAUAAUACUGACGCUCAGGCACGAAAGCGUGGGGAGCAAAC
rnacentral:rRNA from 1 species